rnacentral:rRNA from 1 species
GACGAACGCUGGCGGCGUGCUUAACACAUGCAAGUCGAACGGAAAGGCCCUGCUUUUGUGGGGUGCUCGAGUGGCGAACGGGUGAGUAACACGUGAGUAACCUGCCCUUGACUUUGGGAUAACUUCAGGAAACUGGGGCUAAUACCGGAUAGGAGCUCCUGCUGCAUGGUGGGGGUUGGAAAGUUUCGGCGGUUGGGGAUGGACUCGCGGCUUAUCAGCUUGUUGGUGGGGUAGUGGCUUACCAAGGCUUUGACGGGUAGCCGGCCUGAGAGGGGGACCGGCCACCCGGGAACGGAGAGGCGGACAAGACUCCUACGGGAGGCGGCAGGAGGGAAGCGUCCGCAAUGGGGGAGAGCCUGGCGGAGCAACGCCGCGUGAGUGAUGAAGGUCUUCGGAUCGUAAAACUCGGUUAUUAGGGAAGAACAAAUGUGUAAGUAACUAUGCACGUCUUGACGGUACCUAAUCAGAAAGCCACGGCUAACUACGUG